AUGAACGCUGGCGGCGUGCCUAAUACAUGCAAGUCGAGCGAACGGACGAGAAGCUUGCUUCUCUGAUGUUAGCGGCGGACGGGUGAGUAACACGUGGAUAACCUACCUAUAAGACUGGGAUAACUUCGGGAAACCGUAGCUAAUACCGGAUAAUAUUUUGAACCGCAUGGUUCAAAAGUGAAAGACGGUCUUGCUGUCACUUAUAGAUGGAUCCGCGCUGCAUUAGCUAGUCGGUAAGGUAACGGCUUACCAAGGCAACGAUGCAUAGCCGACCUGAGAGGGUGAUCGGCCACACUGGAACUGAGACACGGUCCAGACUCCUACGGGAGGCAGCAGUAGGGAAUCUUCCGCAAUGGGCGAAAGCCUGACGGAGCAACGCCGCGUGAGUGAUGAAGGUCUUCGGAUCGUAAAACUCUGUUAUUAGGGAAGAACAUAUGUGUAAGUAACUGUGCACAUCUUGACGGUACCUAAUCAGAAAGCCACGGCUAACUACGUG
rnacentral:rRNA from 1 species